GGUGAGAUGGCCGAGCGGUCUAAGGCGCCAGAUUAAGGUUGUUUGAGCUUUGCUCAGUUGCCUUCUGGUCAGAAAUGGCGUGGGUUCGAAUCCCACUCUCAUCA